rnacentral:rRNA from 1 species
GACGUAGGGGGCAAGCGUUGUCCGGAUUUAUUGGGCGUAAAGAGCGUGUAGGCGGCCAGACAGGUCCGUUGUGAAAACUCGAGGCUCAACCUCGAGACGCCGAUGGAAACCGUUUGGCUAGAGUCCGGAAGAGGAGAGUGGAAUUCCUGGUGUAGCGGUGAAAUGCGCAGAUAUCAGGAAGAACACCCGUGGCUAAGGCGGCUCUCUAGUACGGUACUGACGCUGAGACGCGAAAGCGUGGGGAGCGAACCGG